AGUGGGGUGGAGCAGCCCGGUAGCUCGUCAGGCUCAUAACCUGAAGGCCGCAGGUUCAAAUCCUGCCCCCGCAACCA
rnacentral:tRNA from 1 species